UUACGGCCAUAUCAAGUUGAAAUACCGGUUCUCGUCAUAUCACCGUAGUUAAUCAACGUCGAGACUGGUCAGUUCCUAGAUGGGUGACCGCUUGGAAAUCUCAGGUGCUGUAAG